rnacentral:rRNA from 1 species
GUGAGGAAUUUUGCGCAAUGGCCGCAAGGCUGACGCAGCAACGCCGCGUGGGUGAUGAAGGCCUUCGGGUCGUAAAGCCCUGUCAGGUGGGAAGAAAGGCCUGGAGAGGAAAGGUUUCAGGUUUGACGGUACCACCAGAGGAAGCACCGGCUAACUCCGUGCCAGCAGCCGUGGUAAUACGGAGGGUGCGAGCGUUAUUCGGAAUUACUGGGCGUAAAGCGCGUGUAGGCGGGGGGACAAGUCUGAUGUGAAAGCCCUGGGCUUAACCUGGGAAGCGCAUUGGAAACUGUUUUUCUUGAGUACUGGAGAGGAAGGGGGAAUUCCCGGUGUAGAGGUGAAAUUCGUAGAGGUCGGGAGGAAUACCAGUGGCGUAGGCGCCCUUCUGGACGGUAACUGACGCUGAGACGCGAAAGCGUGGGGAGCAAACAGGAUUAGAAACCCCGGUAGUCC